rnacentral:rRNA from 1 species
UACGGAGGGUGCGAGCGUUAAUCGGAAUUACUGGGCGUAAAGCGCGCGUAGGCGGUUUGUUAAGUCAGCUGUGAAAGCCCCGGGCUCAACCUGGGAACUGCAGUUGAUACUGGCCGACUAGGGUACGAGAGAGGGAGGUAGAAUUCCAUGUGUAGCGGUGAAAUGCGUAGAUAUAUGGAGGAAUACCGGUGGCGAAGGCGGCCUCCUGGCUCGAUACUGACGCUGAGGUGCGAAAGCGGGGGGAUCAAACAGGAGUAGAUACCCUGGUAGUCCACGCCGUAAACGAUGUCUACUAGCCGUUGGGAGACUUGAUUUCUUAGUGGCGCAGCUAACGCAAUAAGUAGACCGCCUGGGGAGUACGGCCGCAAGGUUAAA